UGGUGCUUGCAUCAUGAAUUACAUUUGAGUGAGUGGCGAACUGGUGAGUAACACGUGGGAAACCUGCCCAGAAGCGGGGGAUAACACCUGGAAACAGAUGCUAAUACCGCAUAACAACUUGGACCGCAUGGUCCGAGCUUGAAAGAUGGCUUCGGCUAUCACUUUUGGAUGGUCCCGCGGCGUAUUAGCUAGAUGGUGAGGUAACGGCUCACCAUGGCAAUGAUACGUAGCCAACCUGAGAGGGUAAUCGGCCACAUUGGGACUGAGACACGGCCCAAACUCCUACGGGAGGCAGCAGUAGGGAAUCUUCCACAAUGGACGAAAGUCUGAUGGAGCAACGCCGCGUGAGUGAAGAAGGGUUUCGGCUCGUAAAACUCUGUUGUUAAAGAAGAACAUAUCUAAGAGUAACUGUUCAGGUAUUGACGGUAUUUAACCAGAAAGCCACGGCUAACUACGUGCCAGCAGCCGCGGUAAUACGUAGGUGGCAAGCGUUGUCCGGAUUUAUUGGGCGUAAAGCGAGCGCAGGCGGUUUUUUAAGUCUGAUGUGAAAGCCUUCGGCUCAACCGAAGAAGUGCAUCGGAAACUGGGAAACUUGAGUGCAGAAGAGGACAGUGGAACUCCAUGUGUAGCGGUGAAAUGCGUAGAUAUAUGGAAGAACACCAGUGGCGAAGGCGGCUGUCUGGUCUGUAACUGACGCUAAGGCUCGAAAGUAUGGGUAGCAAACAGGAUUAGAUACCCUGGUAGUCCAUACCGUAAACGAUGAAUGCUAAGUGUUGGAGGGUUUCCGCCCUUCAGUGCUGCAGCUAACGCAUUAAGCAUUCCGCCUGGGGGAGUACGGCCGCAAGGCUGA
rnacentral:rRNA from 1 species